AAAUAAUCGCGCAGAAAAAUAAAGUAUUUAAAUAAUAUGCGCAUGCGCAGAUGUUAAUAUCGCCUCGCGAAAACAUUCAAAACAAAAACACUCGAAACGGAAUUGCCUGAAGAGACCUCAGCAGAAAUGAAAUCUCCAGGAUCAACCAGCAGGCCAACAUCCAGUGGGAAGAAGCAGAAGAUUGAGAAAAAGAAGAAACGUUAGCAGGCCUUGGUGAUCAUGAAAACAUACUGCAAACAUUCCUGGUGAGAACAUUCGUCAUAAAGACACUGUAUUGCCAUUCAACAUGCUGUGAUAGAAGAUUGGAGCAAAUUGUUCAAUGAAUCUCAUAUUUGUAUGCACCUGCCCACCAAAUGGGCAACGCAGUCUAUGUGCUGUUGCAUGAGGAUUAGAACUUUUGUUUUAUUGAUGUCCUAAUGAAUUUUAUUUUUUGUUUGUAAGGGAAUGUGUUACAUCAGGAUUGUUGCAAACAUUUAUAAUAAAUCUUAUUUUAUGCUUUA